ensembl:lncRNA
UCACACUGUUUAAACCUGAGGAGCUUCACAAAUCAACAUUAAUCCUCAGACCUGCAGCAGCCGUGAGAGGAGCGACACACAGCAUUCAGUCACAGACCAACGUUUUCCAUCAUGUCCCUCUCAUUUCAUCAUUUAUUGAUCCGCUCGACGCUGCAAACAUCUGCACAGAUGUGAGCCACUCCUCCGCUGGACCAUCAGAGCGCUGGAGACACGGCGAGGAAUCUCUCAGCGAUUAGAAAUCAGUCCUGCGGCUCAGUGCAGAUUCAUAUCAGCUGGUUCAGACCCAACUGAAAUGUGCGUUAUUGCCGCGUGUCCCACAGGGUGAAACCGUGAGCUCUCUCCAGAUCUUCAAACUUUCUUGUUUCAAACAGUGAGCGUGUGGGGCCACAGUUCAUCAUCACAGACCAUCAGGUGCUCCUCACACACAGAGGAGGACAGAAACACCUGGACCAGCAGGUGUGACUGUCUGAAGUAAUGCACUCAAGCAGCACGGCUGUACGCAUGCUUACCUCCACGACUCCAUCACUGAAGACAAAGCCAAUCAGCUGAGCUGAAUCCACCUGACACAAAGAACAAAGCUUAUCACACAUUUGAUUUCCAUGUGUGACAACUGCAAGUGUCCAGAGUGAGGACAGACUGAGGGACCCACUGCUGCACAUCAUCUGUGAGGCUUUGCACCCCUGAUGAUCCACCAGGACAAACUCAGCAGUGUGUGAGGAAGAGGAGGAGGAAGAGCCAGCAGCAGCUGACAGAUGGAGAGAAUAGACAGACUGUUCCCUGUUUGUGAAGGACUGCUAGGAAAGUUUAACAUAACUAAUUGUCUGUCCUGAAUCAGUCUUAUUAGGUAAUGUUCAAAUAAUGUUAUCAUCCCAGUGUUUUCAGUGUGGGAGAAAGUACUCAGGGCCUUCAAGUUACACACUAUGAAAGGCAGCAACAAGUUUAAUAUUCAGAAACCUAAAGUAUGUAUCAGCAGCAGAAUGGAGCUAAAAAUAAAUGUUUGUUUCAGUUCUAUGAAGCUUUGAGUAUUUUG